ensembl:lincRNA
GGAUUCCCGGCCAUUCAUUGAGUCAGAUUAGCCGCCACUGCACCCUCCCUACCCCCGCCCCCGUUGUGGUUCCCAUCUCUGUCAAACUGUUCUCCAGCGUUUAAACCUUCUUGAGAGCAGUGUUACAUAACUCUAGCGGACAGGAAAAGAAACUCUUCCUUUUCGCAGCAAGAACACGUCAGUGAGGAGGGGACGGCAAGCAGGUGAGCAGGCUCAGCCCAGCGGAAGGUUUCGGGGUGUUGAAAGUUCACGGCAGAACCGUCCUCAAACCCGUCACCAUCACCUGGACUUGCAGGUCACACCACAGACACGCACCUUGUAAAAAAACCUCAGCGAUCCAAGGUUUGUUGUUUUUCAAUAUAUACAACCCAUGGUGCAGUGCGCAACGGUGGACUGGUCAGCGGUCCCCGUUCUGCUGGUACCGUUAUGUGGGCAGAUGCAGGUUAGGGUGUGCAGCACUCCAGAUCUCAGAGCAGAGGAAUUCGGGGAAGCCUCCUGGUUGUGUUUAAGCCCGACAGACCCGACAUGUGCCUCAGUCUAGAGGAAGACUCCCGGAGAGGCACGGCUGGAGAAGAAAAGGCUGGUGGGCGUUACUGAGAGCAAUGGCAACGGCUGGGUGAAUGUUCCCAUCAUUAGGCUGUUCUCUCGGCGUUUUAUUGAAGCCUAAGAGCUACGUGGUCUGUCCCUCGUCGCUGCCCCCGUGUCCUGCGCUGCCUGCUACGUGCUGUUUGUGUUUGUUUGGGGGGACCUGGGCUAGUGUGUUGGGGGGGGGUGUUGUUGGCGGCACAGAGGGGUACAGUGAGGGGAUCUGCCUGCCCACCCCGCAGGACCUCCGAGUGCUUUUCCCAGCCCGUCUCCAGACAGAGAGGCAGACCUGGUGUGCUGAAGCUUGCCUGGGAAGCCAGAAGAAUCCCGCGUUAUAAACGAGCGAGCCGGACCAAUGUGUUUCUUUAACGGCUGUGGCCAAGAGAACAAGAGGAGAGGACGAUGUCGCGCUCGUUGUGUACCGCUCGAGAGGCUUUAAAUACGCAAGCAAUGGCGUACUCCCCUACGGCGAUGGCUCUGUAGCUGUUUCAGUGGGGCAGCAGAGGCUCGGCCGGUGUGAAGAGCAGACAGAAGACAGCGGGCUGAGCCAGGCUGGCCUGGCGGGAGAGAGGUCCAGUAGGAAUAGCUGCACACUGGAGUAGACGCUGGGGUCGGGCCACCUCUACUCCAACUCAACACUUGGUCCCCUUUGGCUUCUGCCAGUGUGCAGCUGGGGGGAGUGCAGACAGCUGCAGGUCGAUGCACCCAUCGGCCUCUACUCGUCUGCAAGUCCUCUUCUCCCUUCUCCCCUGUUAUAUCAAGUGAGGGGACGCUCUGAUGAACGAAUCCAGAUCACAGUCUUGCUUUAGGAGGCUGUGAGAGAUCCCCCUUUCUGACAGUGUGGCAAGGGGUCUCCACAUGAACCGUAAUCCUGUCUUUCCACUGACAGCAAGAGCCUCACGCGGUCGAUUCCGGGUGGCCAGGUGCCCUCACUGACCGUCUUCCUUUUUCACCAGGCUGCUACCAAUAUCAUCCCGCGGUAGUCUUUCUCGGAUUUGUUGUACCGCACGGAAAAUGGACACUGCCGCUCACUCAGAAGCUGUCUCACCACUGUUGGACCUGCUGCUGCUCACAAGAGCCCCUCUGAGAAUCUAAGUGGCAGAGGGGUUCUGUCUUCUCUGGAAUCAGAGCUGGGCUGUGCCGUAUGAUGUUCCCAUCCAGAGAAGCUCCUCUUGGGUGAAUGGAAAUGCAUCCUAAAAGACAAAAGCUGACCUCCAGGAACAAUCGCCUCACUUUUUGACGUCCAUUGCUCUUCCCUGCUUUGUGUCCAUUCACCGUGUGGUUUUUGGAGAGGCAUUAAAGUCUCAGAUGAAUGUUGACGGACUGGAGAGAAGAGCAAGAACUAGGCAGAGCUUAGCACAAAUCUGUGAUUGGCAUUUUGCUAAAGCGAUGCGCUGUCCUCUAGGAUUUACAUGGGAGACUCCUGACUAACACUCUGUCCUAUAUUCAAGGUCUCUUUGUCCAUCAGGCCUGGAGUGCAUUUUCAGUAGUAGCGUUUGUCUUGAUGUUCUGUAAUAAUUACACUCUAGUUCUCAAUUACCCUGAUGCCCUUUCAUUUUUAACGUCCAUUGUGCUAAAAGUUUUAUUCGAUGACUCUCUUGUCCCAGGAUGCCAGCUUUUAGGGUUUAGUGUGUCUCUAUAGAGAAUUGUGUAAUGCUGUUAAGAACACUUCUCUCACCAGAAGGUAUUAGUCUGGUCUGCAACUUCACAAAUUCAUUAAAGAAAGCCUUUCUGUAUUUUACUCACAAUACCCCAUAUUAUAUUUCUGGGAAGUUCACAGCUAGUGUUUUUUUUCCUGAAAG